rnacentral:lncRNA from 1 species
AAGAAAGAAAGGAAAGAACACAAACCCUAGGUGGGAAAAUUGAAGAAAAAGUGUGGGAUUUCAAGGGAUUACGCUAUUAAAGGUAAAAUUUUGUGAUUUUAUCUUGUGAUUUACACUACCCAUGCCUUCUUUAUCAUUUUCCAUGCUUAGAACUCAAGUUUGCAUGAUGAACCCAUGCUGGCUGAAUUUGAGAGGAGAGGUUUUGAGCAUUGAUUUUGCUAGAAUUCAAGCUAAUUAAGUGUUUUUGGUUGUUUGGUAAUGGAAAGUAUGAAAAUCUAGCAAGGAAUCACUUUGUUCUUCACAAACCCACAAGAGGCUGAAUUUUCUAGGGAGGAUAUUGAGGCUGAAAUUGAUGAUAUUUCAUGAUAUUUUGGUGGUAUUUAAUGAUUGGUGAGGCUAGAAAUUUAAUGGGAAAUUUUGGCAUGAAAAUCUGAAUUUUUACCUAAUGUAUAGACAUGUAUGAUUUAUGGCUCGGACUGAUAAAUUGAAUCAUAUUCACAGUCAUUGAGGUAUUUUAAGUAUAAUUUGAGUGUAGAAAGUGAAAGAAAUCGAUUUGGAGUUAAAUUGGAGGUUUUAGCCAAUUACACCGAGAAUAGUGCGAAUUAGGUUGAAUACCGUAUUUAAAUGGCUAUUCGAACAUUUUACAUCACAUUUCGUGCAUUCAUAUAGAUUUAUAGAGCCUGAAAUAGUUUAUGAUAAAUUGACACAAAUUAUUGAAAUUCGUGUCACGUAUAAUGUAUAGGUGGUGAAUCCUCCGCUAAGGGCAAAGAAAUUGUACCCGAGGAUCGGUAGUCAAAGUACUCUAGAAAUUCGACUCCCGAAAUAGUGAGUAACCUUAUCAUCAUUUUAAUUAUCUAAAGUGGUCUUUUUAUUCAAUUUUCUGAAAUUUAUGGAAAAUGAGUUUAAAUGGUUAAUUUUCAGGUUUUAUAAACAAAAUGUGUUUAAAUGAAAAGAUUUUAUAACUUGUAUUAAAAUUGAAUGAUGGCUUUGAAAAUAGAGUAACUGGAGACCACUUGAUGUGUUGUAAUUUAUGAUUCUAAUUGAUGGUUUAUGAUAAAGUGUUGGCAUGACUGGCUAGAAUUGUGGUUUGUGAACUGUAUGAAUUGUUCUGUUUUGCAUUUACAGGCUGGGUAGUAUAAUAUUAGUCAUGUCAUGCUGUCAAAAUUUUAUUGUAUGGUGGGUUUAGCUUGCUGUAGUGGGUGGGUUCUGUGGACCAGCCU